rnacentral:lncRNA from 1 species
CCCGAUCCCUUCUCUCCUCCACCGAUUCUUCUUCUUCUCCAUUUCACCUCUCCAUUUCUUCUGUGUGAUCUAGGAUUUCUGAUUUCUGUUUUAAAAUCACAAAAAAAUCAGGAUUUUUGAUUUCAUGUUUAAAAUAGCAUGUUAAUAGAGUAUCGAUAGAUAGGUAGCUUCAACGUAAGGAAUCUAAAUUGGUUUUAGCUCAAAAGCGAAAACGAUGGGUUCCAUUGAAGAAGAAGCAAGACCUCUCAUCGAAGAAUGUUUAAUAUUACAGGUCUGUUCAAUUUCAAUCUCUUGGAUUCGGUUAAUCAAUUAGGUUUUGCGAAUUUUGAUUUUGCUGAAAUUUCAGAACUUUUGACUUUAGAUUGAUCUUAUGCAUUUUUAUUCUGGGUUUAUUGAGAUCUUUUCUGGGUAAUUACUGUUUUAUCUUAGUGUUCUUGAUCGUUUUUGAUUUAGGUGAUGAUUCCAAUGUUUGAGUUUUGCAAAUAAAGAUCAAAUUUUGCUUGAUUUAGUUAGCUAAUUUAUUGUUGUCUUUGGCAAUUUUGUUGAACUAGGAAGCGAAAUUGUAUGUUGAAGAUGGUUCAGUGGACUUUAAUGGAAACCCACCAUUGAAGGAGAAAACAUGAAACUGGAAAGCUUGUCCUUUUAUACUUGGUAAUGAAUGUUGUGAGAGGCUAGCUUACUAUGGUAUUGCUGGGAAUCUUAUCACUUACCUCACCACUAAGCUACAUCAAAGAAAUGUGUCUGCUGCUACAAACGUUAUCACAUGGCAAGGGACUUGUUAUCUUACUCCUCUCGAUGGUCAUAUCUCAUGAGUGUAUAUAGCUUCUGUGUCUAUCGGUUCUGAAGUGAAUUGAAUUGAAUUAGCUUGAAUUAGCUUGUGCAUAUUUAAACUAGCAAAUGGAUUUGAUUCUUGGGAUCUUUCCACAGAGACUACAGAAAAUCAGAAAUCUUAUACACUUGAAUCUUUACUUAAGUCUAGUUGUAUCUGCAUACACCAAAUUUCCCUUGUAGAUUAUGCGUCAUUCUUAUAGUUACAUUCUCUUGUUUGUAUAUGCAGGUUCCCUGACGCUAUACCGACCAUGAAGCCAAUGAUGACUUCUCUUCCAAAUGCAUUUAUUGCGACCAAUACAAAAGUAUUACUUGAAUGGUUAUAGAUAUGAGCUGGCUUUGAGCAUUGUGUGCACGUUAUUCUUUAAUCAUGUGAUAUAUUUGGUUUCUCUCUAGUUAGAGAAGCUUUGGUUUGGUCUGUGAGCUGUUUGAUUUUCUUCAAGCAAUUUUGGUGUUGUGAUGGAACUCUCCUCUCUUCUUACUUAUACUUUAGGACUUUUUGUUUACCAUAGAUUAUUUGCUUUGGACUACUCCUUAAGCUAGAGGGUAAUAUUUAUGCUUCUAGGUUUGUUUUUUUAGAUUGUAAUAUUACCUUUUGUAAUCUUAUGUUUUUAUAUAUUUAUUUUCGAUUUUGCAAACUUUUUUUUUUUUUUUUAUGAUACUUAAACCAGUCUCACCAAUAGAAACAUAUUUAGUACCGGUAUCAUAAAAAAUCUCAAACAAUAAAAAAAUAUUAAAAUUAAUACUAAAAAAUUAUUAAUGAUACUCUAUUAGUAUCAACCAUGUACAUGCUUUAAGAAUGUUUUUGUUUUUCAAUGUCUGUCGAAAUGUAACAUGCGUUGACUUAUUUUUUCAG